rnacentral:rRNA from 1 species
AUUGAACGCUGGCGGCAUGCCUUCCACAUGCAAGUCGAACGGUAACGGGCCUUCGGGUGCCGACGAGUGGCGAACGGGUGAGUAAUGUAUCGGAACGUACCUUUCAGUGGGGGAUAACGUAGCGAAAGUUACGCUAAUACCGCAUAUUCUGUGAGCAGGAAAGCAGGGGAUCGCAAGACCUUGCGCUGAUUGAGCGGCCGAUAUCAGAUUAGCUAGUUGGUGAGGUAAAGGCUCACCAAGGCGACGAUCUGUAGCGGGUCUGAGAGGAUGAUCCGCCACACUGGAACUGAGACACGGUCCAGACUCCUACGGGAGGCAGCAGUGGGGAAUUUUGGACAAUGGGGGCAACCCUGAUCCAGCCAUGCCGCGUGAGUGAAGAAGGCCUUCGGGUUGUAAAG